rnacentral:rRNA from 1 species
UACAGAGGGUGCAAGCGUUGUUCGGAAUCAUUGGGCGUAAAGCGCACGUAGGCGGCAUUGCAAGUCAGGUGUGAAAGCCUGGGGCUCAACCCCAGAAGUGCAUUUGAAACUGCAGUGCUUGAGUCUUGGAGAGGGCAGUGGAAUUCCGAGUGUAGAGGUGAAAUUCGUAGAUAUUCGGAGGAACACCAGUGGCGAAGGCGACUGCCUGGACAAAGACUGAUGCUGAGGUGCGAAAGCGUGGGGGGCAAACAGG